AGGGUUGUAGCUCAGUGGUAGAGCGCUUGUCUUGCAUGCGUGAGGCACUGGGUUCAAUCCUCAGCACCACAU
rnacentral:tRNA from 1 species